GGAAGGGUGCCAGAGUGGUUGAAUGGGCCGGUCUCGAAAACCGGUGUACGGGCAACCGUACCGUGGGUUCGAAUCCCACCCCUUCCGCCA
rnacentral:tRNA from 1 species